rfam:Staphylococcus pseudintermedius strain 063228, complete genome.
UCCAUUGCGAAGUGGAAUCUGAAGGAAGUCGGACGCAAACACUCGCACUGACGAACAGAAAUAUCAUACUAAGGCUAUGUAGAAUGGAUGAAUCUGCUGAACAAGAUCUCAUCAGCGGUAUAUUUAUACCGUAGUAACAACGAAUGAUGAGAAGUCAGCAGAAGUC